GAUGAACGCUGGCGGCGUGCCUAAUACAUGCAAGUCGAGCGAACGGACGAGAAGCUUGCUUCUCUGAUGUUAGCGGCGGACGGGUGAGUAACACGUGGAUAACCUACCUAUAAGACUGGGAUAACUUCGGGAAACCGGAGCUAAUACCGGAUAAUAUUUUGAACCGCAUGGUUCAAAAGUGAAAGACGGUUUUGCUGUCACUUAUAGAUGGAUCCGCGCCGCAUUAGCUAGUUGGUAAGGUAACGGCUUACCAAGGCAACGAUGCAUAGCCGACCUGAGAGGGUGAUCGGCCACACUGGAACUGAGACACGGUCCAGACUCCUACGGGAGGCAGCAGUAGGGAAUCUUCCGCAAUGGGCGAAAGCCUGACGGAGCAACGCCGCGUGAGUGAUGAAGGUCUUCGGAUCGUAAAACUCUGUUAUUAGGGAAGAACAUAUGUGUAAGUAACUGUGCACAUCUUGACGGUACCUAAUCAGAAAGCCACGGCUAACUACGUG
rnacentral:rRNA from 1 species